GACGAACGCUGGCGGCGUGCUUAACACAUGCAAGUCGAGCGGUAAGGCCCUUUCGGGGGUACACGAGCGGCGAACGGGUGAGUAACACGUGGGUGACCUGCCCUCAGCUCUGGGAUAAGCCUGGGAAACCGGGUCUAAUACCGGAUAUGACUCCAUGACGCAUGUUGUGGGGUGGAAAGCCUUGUGCGGCUGAGGAUGGGCCCGCGGCCUAUCAGCUUGUUGGUGGGGUGAUGGCCUACCAAGGCGACGACGGGUAGCCGGCCUGAGAGGGCGACCGGCCACACUGGGACUGAGACACGGCCCAGACUCCUACGGGAGGCAGCAGUGGGGAAUCUUGCGCAAUGGGGCGAAAGCCUGACGCAGCGACGCCGCGUGAGGGAUGACGGCCU
rnacentral:rRNA from 1 species